GAUGAACGCUGGCGGCGUGCCUAAUACAUGCAAGUCGAGCGAACAGACGAGGAGCUUGCUCCUCUGACGUUAGCGGCGGACGGGUGAGCAACACGUGGAUAACCUACCUAUAAGACUGGGAUAACUUCGGGAAACCGGAGCUAAUACCGGAUAAUAUAUUGAACCGCAUGGUUCAAUAGUGAAAGACGGUUUUGUUGUCACUUAUAGAUGGAUCCGCGCCGCAUUAGCUAGUUGGUAAGGUAACGGCUUACCAAGGCGACGAUGCGUAGCCGACCUGAGAGGGUGAUCGGCCACACUGGAACUGAGACACGGUCCAGACUCCUACGGGAGGCAGCAGUAGGGAAUCUUCCGCAAUGGGCGAAAGCCUGACGGAGCAACGCCGCGUGAGUGAUGAAGGUCUUCGGAUCGUAAAACUCUGUUAUUAGGGAAGAACAAAUGUGUAAGUAACUAUGCACGUCUUGACGGUACCUAAUCAGAAAGCCACGGCUAACUACGUG
rnacentral:rRNA from 1 species